CCUGCUUUCUGCUCUAGGGUCACAACCUAGGCUCCUCCUCUGGGGUCCUGCCCUGAAGGCAAAGCUGUGGGCAGCAGGGCUGUGGACAGUCAGGUGUGGCAGCAAGGCACAAACCAGAAUGGUGAAGCUGGCUGGCUCUCCUCCAAAGAAUGAGGGCUUUGGCCCUCAGAUGACACCAAGAGACUGUCAGAGGAAGCUCUGAGAGUGGCCCGGCAUUCCCAGUGCUGGCUGGAUGGCUGCCCCUGCCGCUCAGGCCAGAGCUAGGCUCCUGUGUUGGCGGGAAUUCCAAAGCUCCCCACACAUGAGCUCAUGGAUGGCCGGGUGCCCAGCCUUGCAGUUCAUGGCUUUAGAAUGCAUUCUCUGAGCUGGCCUGCUUCAGUUCCCCCAUCUCACCACAGCAAGUACUGCUGUGUGCUCUUGGCCCUUCAAAGACAGGCAAAUCCCAUAAAGGGCUUUUUUCUAAAACUGCCAAAUUUUGCAAGCACAUACAUGCACAUGCGUGUGUGUGUGCAAGCAGCAUGUGGACAAAGCAUCCUGUGUGCAUGGAGAUGAAGCAGAGCUCGCCCUGCCCUCAAGGAGCUCCUUGUCCGGUUUGGAGGGUGGAGAACGGAAGAGUGGGCAGAAAGACAUUCCUGCAAAAGACUGAUGCAUGGAAACCAAGGCACACUCUCCCACUCAGGCAAAGAACGGGACAGCUCCCUUAGCAGCCGACCAGCCACCAGCCCAGCUCCCCCAGUGCCUCGCCUUCACUCUCCCUUCUUAUUCCAAUAUCCCCACCCUCCAGCCCCACCCUAGCCCAGUGGGGCAACACCAGGUCCAUGCCCUCUUCCACCUUGAAAGGAACAAUUCUAAAAACCAGAGAGAAAGCCAUCUGGUCAGGCUGCUCAUCAGAAAUAACUGCCAAGUCUGAGAGGUCAUCCUGUCGCUGUCUCCUCUCCCCGGGGACCUGGGGACAUGGGGUGACGGCCAAGGAGUGCCCGUGGCACCUGUCAAUGCACGGACUGCUUGUCUGCAGGCAUUGAUUUCUCUCCUUCCUGACCUUUCAGGAGAGGCGCCCUGAAUUCCAUGCCAGGUCAUUACAGAGCCGGUGGCUGAGACUCUAGGAGACCCAGCCCCACUGGCUGCAGCCCCUUCGGAUGCAUCUAUGAGAGCAGCCUGGCCAUCACCCGCCGGCCUGGCCCGUGCUGUCAGCCGGCCAGAGCGUGUCUGAAUCGAGGAAAGCUGACUGGGGCUCGAUUCACACUGACUCAAGCCGCAAGGCGAGUUUAUGGUUCUUGAUUACACCCAGCAGGGAGGCCUUCUUAGUGAUGAGAGAGAAAAUAUUCAACAACCUGUCUUUGCAAUGUGCUGAUCUCUUGGAGAGAGAGAGUGUGUGUGUAGAGAAAGUGGAGGAGGGGUUUCAGAGGACAGUGAUUUAUGAGUGAAAAGAAGGUCUUCUAAAAAAAAAAUCCAGGGCUCCCCCAAACUGCCUCAACAUUUCCUCUUUCUCAUCGUUGGGUUUUGCCUUGGUAUAACUUUGAGGCACAGUGAUUGCAACCCUGUGGGCUUCUGCAAGCUGGUGCAAAGCUUUAAAGGAUGCAGGCCCGGAAGGCGCUGUAGUCCGUCCAGCUUUCACUCAGCAUUGCCUCGCAGCUGGGAGAGGUCUUGGACAGCGCUGCCUGCAGAGGCCCGGUGCAGCCCAAUCCCCAAGCCCCUUCUCUCCUUCACAGCCCUUUUCAUGUUCUGCUUCAUACUUAAACUGCAUCUGCUUGCACUCGGCGCCCAAACAUGG
rnacentral:lncRNA from 10 species